AGUGAACGCUGGCGGUAGGCCUAACACAUGCAAGUCGAACGGCAGCACAGUAAGAGCUUGCUCUUACGGGUGGCGAGUGGCGGACGGGUGAGGAAUACAUCGGAAUCUACUUUUUCGUGGGGGAUAACGUAGGGAAACUUACGCUAAUACCGCAUACGACCUACGGGUGAAAGCAGGGGAUCUUCGGACCUUGCGCGAUUGAAUGAGCCGAUGUCGGAUUAGCUAGUUGGCGGGGUAAAGGCCCACCAAGGCGACGAUCCGUAGCUGGUCUGAGAGGAUGAUCGGCGACACUGGAACUGAGACACGGUCCAGACUCCUACGGGAGGCAGCAGUGGGGAAUAUUGGACAAUGGGCGCAAGCCUGAUCCAGCCAUACCGCGUGGGUGAAGAAGGCGUUCGGGUUGUAAAGCCCUUUUGUUGGGAAAGAAAAGCAGCAGGUUAAUACCCCGCUGUUCUGACGGUACCCAAAGAAUAAGCACCGGCUAACUUCGUG
rnacentral:rRNA from 1 species